CCAUCUUCUGAUGAUGAUUAUCAUACCAACCAAGGCUUGACAAUUGAUCAAGGAAUCGCUUGUGUUCUAAUGCUGGUGGCUUUGGUGCUUACGUACCUCAUUCACUAAAAGUCUCAAUUAAUCAAUGUCGUCAGCACCAAUCGAUCAUCCUUUCUUCCUUAUUAAAGGUCGAGUUGAAAAGAACCCCGAGCAAAAAAGAUGUUUAUAGGCUAGUUA